GGGACUGUAGCUUAGUGGUAAAGCAGACAACUAGGGCUAGUGAAAUGAUCGGUGGUUCGAAUCCACCCAGUUCCA